ensembl:snoRNA small nucleolar RNA SNORA67
UUCCAAGGAGAUUCCUUCUCCAGGGAUAAAUCAUAUACCCCAGGAAUGUAGCCCCUUGGAGAAAUUUCUGGUACUGUUGAGAAUAUUGUAAUAGAUGAGCGAUGUGCUAUUUUUCCUCUCCUUAAAUUAUCAGUAUAC